rnacentral:SRP_RNA from 1 species
GCCGGGCACGGUGGCUCAUGCCUGUAAUCCCAGCACCUUUGGGAGGCCGAGGUGGGUGGAUUGCUUGAGGUCAGGAGUUCAAGACCAGCCUGACCAACAUGGCGAACCCCCAUCUCUA